GAUCAUGGCUCAGAACGACGCUGGCGGCGCGUUUAAGCAUGCAAGUCGAGCGGCAAGGGCCUUCGGGCCCCUAGAGCGGCGGACGGGUGAGUAACACGUGGACAAUCUGCCCCCCGGCCCGGGAUAGCCCAGGGAAACCUGGAUUAAUACCGGAUGAGACGGGACCCGCGAUGGCGGGAUCCGGGAAAGGCGCUGCGGCGCCGCCGGGGGAUGAGUCUGCGUCCCAUUAGCCAGACGGCGGGGUAACGGCCACCGUGGCGACGAUGGGUAGCCGGCCUGAGAGGGUGGACGGCCACAUUGGAACUGAGACACGGUCCAGACUCCUACGGGAGGCAGCAGCUAAGAAUCUUCCGCAAUGGGCGAAAGCCUGACGGAGCGACGCCCGCGUGAACGAAGAAGGCCGUGAGGUUGUAAAGUUCUUUUCGGGAGGGGGAACAACCGUGGCAGGGAAUGGCCGCGGGAUGACGUGAAUCCCGGAAUAAGCCCCGGCUAACUACGUGCCAGCAGCAGC
rnacentral:rRNA from 1 species